UUGUUUGCUUCUACAAAGACAUCAUCAGAUAUGAGGUGGCACAGCGAAGGCCGCACAAAGGAUGGCUUGAUACGACACCCAGCAGAUUUACCUGCAUGGAAACACUUCGAUGCUACUCACGAAGACUUCAGUUCAGAAGUUUGCAACAUUAGACUUGGAUUGGGAGCUGAUGCUUUUAACCCUUUUUGAAAUAUGAAUCUCUCAUAUAGCCUAUGGCCCAUCAUCUUGAUCCCCUACAACCUUCCACCAUGGAUUUGUAUGAAGCAAUCAAACUUUAUUCUCUCUGUCAUCAUCCGUGGUAAAAAAUAUCCAGGAAAAGACAUGGAUGUUUACAUGCAGCUGACCAUAGAUGAUCUUUUGGAGCUUUGGAAUGAUGGAGUCUGGACUUAUGAUGCCUCUCAAUCUAAGAAGUUUCUCUUACGUGCUGCACUACUAUGGACAAUAAGUGAUUGGCCUGGGCGUGGAUCUUUGUCCGGGGAAAAUUUAGCAGUGUGCUCCCAUUGUCUAUCAGAGACAUGCUCUAUUUGGUUAAAGAAUGGACACAAGAAAUUCUAUAUGGGACAUCGCCCAUUGUGUUGAAGUUCUUGUCAACAUCGUGCUCAAAGAAACAACUGAGCUGCCUCGUGCACAAGGAAAGGUAAACAAGCUAGGAAAUGCCCAAGCUAGGUGUAUUCCAUGGCCACGCAAAAAUAUUAUGCAAACAGAUGAUACUACCCUGCUGCACUGUAAGGUUUCUAGUGUUUGUAGUUAGAUGUCAGUCAACAAUAGCGAGAAUGUGGAUCCCAACAAAAUAACUACUGGAACUCAGGUGACCAAGCAUCAGACGGAUUGCAGUACUUUAGAAGGUGUAGUGAGGAAUACCCUGAAGAGAAAGAAAGUUUCUGAGACGACAAAAAUGAACAAAGAUGCCUAGAAAUGCCGGUACACUCCUGAAGGUUGAAGUUGAAGGUGACACACCACUGAUUGGCUUUCUCUUGUCUGUGUCCGUCUAUGAUUGAUUGCAUCAAGGUGGAACACUUCUUCAUAUUGUUGUCACAACAGUAGGCAGUGUACAUUUCUGUUUGUGAUUGAUACUUUGAUAUUGUUUCAGAAUUUGUGAAGAUGUUCUGAUGGUCAUGCUUUACAUUAUUCGCGUGCACGAUGAUACUUCUAGAUGAUGCCAGAUCCAGAUGUUUUACUGUUGGAUAUUAUUCGCGUGCAUAUUAUUUGUGAACACUUGCUCUUGUCUGUAGCCUCUCAAUCUUGUUUCACUGUUGUAUGUGUGUUUGGACAGAUCCAGAUGCAAAUUUUUGAGCUUGCUGUAAUAGUGUUUUAUCAUAUUUUUA